GAUCAUGGCUCAGGAUGAACGCUGGCGGCGUGCUUAACACAUGCAAGUCGAGCGAAGCACUUAGGAAAGAUUCUUCGGAUGAUUUUCUAUUUGACUGAGCGGCGGACGGGUGAGUAACGCGUGGGUAACCUGCCUCAUACAGGGGGAUAACAGUUAGAAAUGACUGCUAAUACCGCAUAAGACCACAGCACCGCAUGGUGUCAGGGGUAAAAAACUCCGGUGGUAUGAGAUGGACCCGCG
rnacentral:rRNA from 1 species